rnacentral:rRNA from 1 species
GACGAACGCUGGCGGCGUGCUUAACACAUGCAAGUCGAACGAUGAAGAAAAGAAUCGAAGCUUCGGCAGAAAUUCAUUUCGGAUUAGUGGCAGACGGGUGAGUAACGCGUGAGCAACCUACCUCUUACAAAGGGAUAGCCUCGGGAAACCGGGAUUAAUACCAUAUAACAUUGCGACGAAGCAUUUCGAUGCAAUCAAAGCUACGGCGGUAAGAGAUGGGCUCGCGUCCCAUUAACCGGAUGGUGAGGUAACGGCUCACCAUAGUGACGAUGGGUAACCGGGCUGAGAGGGUGAACGGUCACACUGGAACUGAGACACGGUCCAGACUCCUACGGGAGGCAGCAGUGGGGAAUAUUGCACAAUGGAGGGAACUCUGAUGCAGCGACGCCGCGUGAGUGAUGAAGGAAUUCGUUUCGUAAAACUCUGUUCUAUGGGAAGAAAAGGACUGUACCAUAGGAGAAAGCUCCGGCUAAAUACGUG